rnacentral:lncRNA from 1 species
UCACUUGUCUUCAUCACUUUAUACUCCACGAUUCUUUGCACAUCAAGUUCUUUCUCCUUUCUGCAGCAUUCUAGCCAGGUAAGUCUCUUCCGUAUUUUCAUUUAGUUUUUCGUAUCAUCUGUUUUCUUGAAAUUGAAGUUCAGAAAUCUCUCCAAUUUAUCUCUCUUUCACCAAAUUUGAUCUGGUUGUGUCAACAUUUGUCUUUUUCCCAUUUGGGUUUGCUAUUGAUGUUCGAUUUUCCUUGUGUUUUGGAAGUCCCAAUAAUUUUAAUCUUUGUGCUUUCAAUUUUAACUAGGUAAUUAUGCUUUCCGUAUUCUAUGUUUCUUUGGUUAUUCCUAUUUCAGAUUUUUGUUGUGUUUCUUCAUAUGCAAUAAUUAAUUUGGUUUUUUCCAUCGAAAUUAACUUUAUGGGUUUCUUUAUUUCAGUUAGGUGCUUUUUUAAAAUUUCAUACAUGGGUUUUCCAUCGCAAUCAAUUUUCAGGGCUAUUGUGGAUUAAACUUGGAGUUUCUUCACUUUAUUACAUUGAUAUUUAGAAAUUAUUUUCACUUGUUGUGUCAAGUUAAGGAUCUACAAUAAGAGGAAUUGACCUAUUGAUCUAUCAGUAGAUUUAGGAUAAUUAUACUAACCUUUAGAAUUUAAAUUAUCACUGAUAUAUGAGUAAAAUCCAUUUAUUGGUUGGAAAAACAAUAGGAAAAUUUCAACAAGAACUAUGUAUAUCACGAGUUUGAACUCUAUGCUUGAUACAAAGUCGAGGAAAGUAUUUAAGUGGGAUUAGUAGGAUCAUAACGGGGAUUUUGAACUCUGUCCUUGACCUAAAAUCGGGGAAACUAUUUAAGUGGAAUCAUAAUGAAGGGGCAUAUCCGUACUCUUGACUUUUCUAGAUGAACAACCGAAUAAAAAUGAGUCUCUUCUUGACUAAAAGGAUUUCUCUUAGUUUUAGCCAUAUAGUUAUCUAAUUUUAUGAUGAGGCUUUAAGUUUACUUCUUAAAAAGCUCGCAUGCUUCAAGAUUGAAGUAUAUGAUCCAGCCCUACUAUGAAACGUGAUUUCAAAACUUGAUAUUAUAGAAAACUUUCAAAUUUUGAUUCCAAUGAAUAUACACAUAUAAAGCCCAUCACUAACUUUGAUCUUAGGUGCAAGAGUUGUAGUACAUGACCCCUAUUCCAGAAUAGGUGACAAAAUAUUAUCUUAUUGAAAUACCAUUUGAAACAUUGACAGCUCACACUUUCAAACACACAAGUAUUAUCUUUUUUUAAAAAAUAUUAUUCUAUGUGUUGACACCCAAUUUCGAUCCCCCGACGAAGGUUAAUUUAUCGAGCUACUUCAAGUUUAAACAGUCGAAUAUAAUUAGUUUCAUAAAAUGGUAAUGAAAUAAUAAUAAUAAUAAUAAAAUAAUAAUAAUAAUAAAAGAUGAUAAUGACAUUGGGCGAGACUUUUAUUAUUUCGUUUAAAUGCGUUACUUUUAGCUUAGCCUUAUAAUAACUUAUGUUUUGGAUUGAUUAUUUUAUAAGUAACUCGAUUAUUUUAACUUUGUUAAAAUUAAGAAGCUCAUCAAACUAAUUAAUGUUCAUUCAUCUCUUUUGUUUACUUCCGUGGAAUUCGCCAAGUGAUCUAACUCGGCUAAUUUUUCGAUCCUAAAGCCAUUUUGGGGCCCUUAUAAAAUAUUUUAUGGCAAUCUCAUUUGCCCAUCCCACAUUCAAAUGCUCAUUUGUUCUCAAAUGCAGGCCCAAUGCUUUUUCUUGUUAAAUUAUCAGAAGCCCAAGAAUUUCGAGACAAGCCCAUUUCUUUUAUUCCCAUCCCUUAAAGCAGCAAAUUUCAUUUGUCCAAUUUCAAACCCAAUUCUCCAGCCCAUACCCCUUUGAACUGGUCCACGCCUGCUUCUUUCUUCCAGAGAAGAGCAGAUACGACUUUAGAGUCAACAAUAGACGCGUGAAGAAAAAGGGGCAGCAAACGCUGUGCUCCUCACGCUCGGCGGAACAAACACACCUCCUUGUCUCCUUUAUACUGAUUUCAGCUUUUAGUUGUAUGAUCGUACGCCUCCAGCUGGAAGAGACCGUUUCGAAUCGUCCUUGCUCUUGUGGAUGGGUGCCACGUCGAGUGCAAGGACGAAGCGAAAUAAUCCGAGCCAUCCUCUACCAUGUCAUCCGGAUUUGGUGGGAUUUGGAUAAGUUGUAGUACGAAAGGCAACUGCCUUUGUCCUCGAGGAUUCUUUUUGAAUUUUGAUGAUCAUUUCAAGAAAUUCCGAGUUUUCCCUUUUCCCCCCAUUUUCGAAAACCCUAGUUUCUUCUCCUAUAAAUACAUUCUUAUUGUUCUUGGAGGAUUCUUUGUUUUGUUUCUUUGCUUGUAUAAUGUGAAAAUUGCCGGCAUCGAACGGGGAUUAACUUAGUCAUAAAUAUGUGAAUAUUGUUCCUCGUGUGGGUUUUCAAAUAUGGAGAUCGUAGUUAGAACGUGAGAUUUUCCUGUUCUGUUGUAUGAGCUUCAAAAGUUAUCUUUUUAACUUUCGAGUGUGAUCAUGGUUGUUGAGUGUUGCUAUGUCGUAGUCUCUAGAGCUGUUGAUUCGAGAAUGUCGUCCAAGCAUGUAUGUGUGAACCUACUGUCCUAUAUGGAAUUUUGCAGUUCGAAACCCAUAAACGGUAGCAACAGUUGAUCCCCUCACUCCCUGCCUAAUGUUGUUGUUAUUUUUGUUUUCCUGUGAUGUUCUCUUCCAGUAUCUCUUCGCAAUCCUUGUCUCGAUAUGUUGUGUUGUGUCACCUUCUUUUUAUCAUUUUUGAGUCUGUUCAUAGCAUUGUUGUCUGCUUUAGCUUCCUUCUCCUAUAAGUUCUAAGUCGUGAAUAUUUGUUGAUAAAUAUCGAGAAAAUUGCUUUGGAGAUUAUGUUAGGUGUUAAAAUAUAUUAAUUCAAUUUCGUAUAGUUAUAAUCAGUUGAGCCUUUGUCUUAUCUCUAUAGAAGUAGCUCCAAUGUUUGCUUGGCUCCAACUUCAAAACCUUAGCUUACACACGAGAACCCAGAUGUCCAAGUUUUCAUGAUCUGUAUCCAUUUACUCCAUUUGUUUAAUUUGGUCUUUAUUUUGGUGUCUAUGUAGUCAUGAAAUUAGGUGGAUUCCAUGUUAUUAUUUUAGAAAAAAGAAGAAGCAAAAGUUGUUUAAAUAGUUUUCUCUUCUUCCUCUGUAUUGCAUUUAUUGUUGUGUUUUGUAGUAUUUGUUGGUGAAAAGUCGGAGUAGUGCCUCAAUUGCUUAUGCAUUAAAUGUUUGUCAUUUGCCUUCAGUCCAUUUUUUAUUUAUUAUAUUUGCAUAUCAUACACUAGUCUUGGUAGCCACAAAGGUGUUCAUGCUUUUCUCUUGAUAAGUGUAGUCUCACUUUCAAAAAAUUAGUUUUAUUGUUUGAUGAUAAGUUACGUAGAUUGUUGACCUUGCAUUAUUGGUUUCGAGAAAGAUUAUUUAAUAGACCUCCCAUAAGUGUUUUGGUUUGGUAUGUGUUGUCUACAUUUUGUAAAUAAGUAACUCUGUCUUAUCAAAUUUUAUUGAUCUCUCAAAAAUACUAACUUCAUACUUGCUUCUUUUCUUUGCAUGUAAAAAUCUGUCCGAGUCCUCGCAGACUUCAUCCUAUUUUCCAUAUUUUCGGGAUCUGUAAAAGCUCAGUUUUUUUUGUCCGAGUAAGGCCUAUUAAAAUCGACGAACAAGUUUCGAAGUUAAAGAAUCCGAAGCAAGUCGGAAUAGUCAAGGAGAUUAGAUCGAAGAGACUAAAUUUAUUUUAAUUGUCGUAUUGUAUUUAUUUUGGGCCUAAGCCCUUGUUGUAUUUUCUUUUCGUAUUCAUUUUUUUGUAAUUAAUUUAGGACAGGUGGAAAUGGGUCAAUAAUCCAAAGCAGGUGGGUCCAAAAUCCAGUCAAGGCAGAUAGAAUCACGGUUUGGGCCCAAAACCUCUCUUUUCUCUCUCUCUCCCUCGUGUCUUGUUGCCUAUCUGUUUUAUUUGUCGUUAUUUCAAAGUUAGAAAGCUCCAAAUCCCCGUCGAAUGCCAUGAUGUUUUAGCAACUUAAAAUUGAACCAAGUUUUAAUAGUUUAAAAAUAAUUUGUUCAUUUAUAAGUUUCGCUUAGAUAACAACUAAGAAAAUCACUUUCAAACAAUUUCCAAUAAAUUUUUUAAGUUAAGUUUUAACCAAACAAAGUUAGUUCUCGGAUAGCAGUAAGUUAACGGACGUCUUAGGAUCUUUCAAACCUUCCUAAGACGUUAAUAGCAGUCCCCGAAUCCUUUAAUUGUUUUUCACUAGAUUUAUCUGUUUAAAAUCUUUUGAAAACACUUGUUUUCUUAAUUUUUUGAAAAUUAAGUGGCGACUCUAAAAAAUCCGAAAACACUACAAAAAUAUAAUAUUUGUCCUUUUCUGAAUAAAAUAGAAAUGACGACUUUGCUGGAGAGUUGGAUGAUUCUAACCUUAAAACUAACAUUAUUUGACUAUAAUUGCUUAUUUGUUUACUUUAUUAUUGAUAUAAUGUUGCAUUGUCAUGACAUUCUUUCGCUAAACGGCAAGUAGUUCGCAUUAGAAAAAUAGAAGUUACAUGGCUUUCCACAGCUUCUUUUAGAAAUACACAAAAAGUUCAUUUGGAAGUAUCAAACGAAUAGUAAAAAUGCAGUCAUCUGAAGUCGUUUGAUAGUUUCACCCCGUUGUUUGUCCGACUCAGGUAAUCGUCAAUUUGAAACAAAUCCUAGCAAGCCUAAGAUAGAGCGAAAUCAAAACAAAAAAUUAAGCAUUAUCCUAAGAUGACUUAAUACCAAGGAGUAUUAAGUCCAUUUAGUAAAAAACCGUCAAAACCGUGUCCAAGGUCUCCGACCUCACGACACAUUAUUUUAUUUGACAUUUGUAUGAUGUACGUGUGAAAGCCAAUUUGGGGUGGGUAAAUCUAACUAGCUUUUGUUUUGUAGAUACGGACCAUUUUUGUAGUUUGACAUGAUCAUAGCAGCACCACCCCAACUCAAAAUAUGGUAUGACAAUCUCGACGGGGAUCAUAGAAGAACCCUCAAUAAAUAUGUGGGUGCUCUGAUAAAUGGUUGACCAGAAACGGUUGAGGUCCUCACAAGAUAUUGGGAUAGACAACGGAUGGUGUUUCAAUUUGGAAUUGCU